UACGUAGGGUGCAAGCGUUGUCCGGAAUUAUUGGGCGUAAAGAGCCCGUAGGCGGUCUGUCGCGUCUGCUGUGAAAACUCAGGGCUUAACCCUGAGCUUGCAGUGGGUACGGGCAGACUAGAGUGCGGUAGGGGAGACUGGAAUUCCUGGUGUAGCGGUGAAAUGCGCAGAUAUCAGGAGGAACACCGGUGGCGAAGGCGGGUCUCUGGGCCGUAACUGACGCUGAGGAGCGAAAGCAUGGGGAGCGAACAGG
rnacentral:rRNA from 1 species